UCCGUACAUAGGGUUCACGCAUGUGCACUGAACAGUUAACGUAAUCAGGAUUUGGGUGAAUCACCCGAGACAGGUUAGAAGCAGUCUGUUCGACGUGUGGCGAAGCACGCAAACGCAAUCCGUCAAAGUUACGAGUUUUGCGACCCCGAACCAAUCUGCCAGUAUUCCAGGGUAACGCAGUCUAGGUAGACGACACUCAUCGACAAGACUCUCGGUCCGUAUGCCGUCUCACCUCUUCAACUAGGACGCACCAACCACAAGGUGAACCCAACCGAACCAGCUAACAAGAUGUGCCAGCCUCCACGACAGCAGGAGAAACGACGCCAGCACGGGCGACGCCAAGCACAGCAAGCAAAACAAGCACCUGAAAGACGGCAAGAAUAAAAGACGACAACCAUGUUUCUUCGUAUAAGACAAACGGAACGACAGCUC